GACGAACGCUGGCGGCGUGCUUAACACAUGCAAGUCGAACGGUAAGGCCCUUCGGGGUACACGAGUGGCGAACGGGUGAGUAACACGUGGGUGAUCUGCCCUGCACUUCGGGAUAAGCCUGGGAAACUGGGUCUAAUACCGGAUAGGACCACUGCCUGCAUGGGUGGUGGUGGAAAGCUUUUGCGGUGUGGGAUGGGCCCGCGGCCUAUCAGCUAGUUGGUGGGGUGAUGGCCUACCAAGGCGACGACGGGUAGCCGGCCUGAGAGGGUGACCGGCCACACUGGGACUGAGAUACGGCCUAGACUCCUACGGGAGGCAGCAGUGGGGAAUAUUGCACAAUGGGCGCAAGCCCGAUGCAGCGACGCCGCGUGAGGGAUGACGGCCUUCGGGUUGUAAACCUCUUUCAGCACCGACGAAGCGCAAGUGACGGUAGGUGCAGAAGAAGGACCGGCCAACUACGUGCCAGCCGCCGCAGUAA
rnacentral:rRNA from 1 species